rnacentral:rRNA from 1 species
CGUGAGCGGCGGACGGGUGAGUAACGCGUGGGUAACCUGCCUCAGUACAGGGGGAUAACAGUUGGAAACGGCUGCUAAUACCGCAUAAGCGGCACAGUACCGCAUGGUACGGUGUGAAAAACUCCGGUGGUAUGAGAUGGACCCGCGUCUGAUUAGGUAGUUGGUGGGGUAACGGCCUACCAAGCCGACGAUCAGUAGCCGACCUGAGAGGGUGACCGGCCACAUUGGGACUGAGACACGGCCCAA